rnacentral:rRNA from 1 species
AACGAACGCUGGCGGCAGGCUUAACACAUGCAAGUCGAGCGCCCCGCAAGGGGAGCGGCAGACGGGUGAGUAACACGUGGGAACAUACCCAUCUCUGCGGAACAACUCCGGGAAACUGGAGCUAAUACCGCAUACGCCCUUAGGGGGAAAGAUUUAUCGGAGAUGGAUUGGCCCGCGUUGGAUUAGCUAGUUGGUGGGGUAAAGGCCUACCAAGGCGACGAUCCAUAGCUGGUCUGAGAGGAUGAUCAGCCACAUUGGGACUGAGACACGGCCCAAACUCCUACGGGAGGCAGCAGUGGGGAAUAUUGGACAAUGGGCGCAAGCCUGAUCCAGCCAUGCCGCGUGAGUGAUGAAGGCCUUAGGGUUGUAAAGCUCUUUCACCGAUGAAGAUAAUGACGGUAGUCGGAGAAGAAGCCCCGGCUAACUUCGUGCCAGCAGCCGCCGUAAAAC